rnacentral:rRNA from 1 species
AGCGCAGGCGGGAAACUAAGCGGAUCUUAAAAGUGCGGGGCUCAACCCCGUGAUGGGGUCCGAACUGGUUUUCUUGAGUGCAGGAGAGGAAAGCGGAAUUCCCAGUGUAGCGGUGAAAUGCGUAGAUAUUGGGAAGAACACCAGUGGCGAAGGCGGCUUUCUGGACUGUGUCUGACGCUGAGAUGCGAAAGCCAGGGUAGCAACG